rnacentral:misc_RNA from 1 species
GAACGCAAAUUGCACUUUCUGGUAUUCCAGAAAGUAUGCCUGUUUGAGGGUCAGUUAAAUAAAAAUCGGUGUUGUUGCUACCCGUAGUGGUGUUAAUGCAUCGGAAUUGAGUUGUCUUUACCUUUUUUGGUUGAAGUGACUUAAAAUUAUAUACGAUUUUUUGAACGUAUUUAAAUUAUUUACGUAUGUUCAUAAUAUCAAAUAUUAGGUGCGAUCAUCCUUAUGAUUCACAUCUAUAAUUUUUCAUUAUUUGACCUCAAAUCAGGUAAGAGUACCCGCUGAACUUAAG